rnacentral:rRNA from 1 species
GGCAACCCUGAUCCAGCCAUGCCGCGUGAGUGAUGAAGGCCUUAGGGUUGUAAAGCUCUUUCGCCGGUGAAGAUAAUGACGGUAGCCGGUAAAGAAGCCCCGGCUAACUCCGUUGCCAGCAGC